AACGUAGGACACAAGCGUUAUCCGGAGUUACUGGGCGUAAAGGGCGCGUAGGCGGUCAGCACAAGUCAGUUGUGAAAUCUCCGGGCUUAACUCGGAAAGGUCAACUGAUACUGUGCGACUAGAGUGCAGAAGGGGCAACUGGAAUUCUCGGUGUAGCGGUGAAAUGCGUAGAUAUCGAGAGGAACACCUGCGGCGAAGGCGGGUUGCUGGGCUGACACUGACGCUGAUGCGCGAAAGCCAGGGGAGCGAACGGG
rnacentral:rRNA from 1 species